UUAUGGACCUCAACAUUGUCACGGUCAUCGUCGCUCUUAUUCGUAACAAAAUCCUACCCAAAGAAAUGGAAAUUCCAAAAGCAAUUAUGAAGACGAAAGUUCAUUAAGUUAAAUUUAUCAUACGGAAGAUCUGAUCACUUCCGAUGAAGAAACUCAACAACAAGUACACUAAAGUCGGAACGCUAUGUCUGAAACAAACAUGGUACUAACAGAAUUGAAAAGAUGGCUGCGGAUAUGAACUCUCUUCUCUGCUCUAUGAAAGCUAGUGAUUUGAUAACUAAAAGAUUUGAAAGUUUACCUGCAUGCGAGCAUUUUAACUGCUGCCAAUUUUUUUCUGUUUUGUUUUGAUUAUAUGCUAACUAAUCGACGAUAACUUUUUGUGAAUAAAUGUUAAUACUUUUUGUGAAAUAUUGUUUCAAAUACAUGGGAUCGUUCAACAAGUGCAUGCUAAUAAAAUUGAACGUGGUUUCUUUGAAUUCAGUUUUCUUCAAUGUCGCGGCGGCAUGUUCCAUUACGGGGGAAGCCAUCUGAAUUCAAGUGACUGUCAAUAACUGUUGUAUUAUUUCUUGGUUUUCGCGUCUUUGUCAAGCUAACGAUCGUUAUUUCUUUUACAGCAUCAGAUGGUGAUUAAAACUUGCUUCUACUCACUUAUCAACCAGAUUCUGUUGAAAUUUUUGGUGGUCAGCGACUUCUUCAAAGAGCAGAUAUCAGCAUAGGAAGCCACAUUACCUCAUUCUUCAGGAUCCGUGCAAGAAGAACAGGAAGAGUUGGCGGUAAAGACAGCUGACUUGUUUCCGCAGACUGGAUGGCGGGCUUGGACUUUUUUUACCAAUGACCAAGGAAACUUACAGACGACUGCACAUGCUGCAAACUAAACUUGUCGAAUGCAUUCCACACGUAGCUGGUCUUAAUCAAAAGGCUUUCAGGUCGGUUGACAUUUAAGGUUCAAACCUAGUGUUACUGUGUUUGUUACCUUGUUUAAGGGCUGUAAUCGUGCGCCUGAACGCUUUGUUGACAUUUAAGGUUGACACCUAGUGUUA